rnacentral:sRNA from 1 species
CGACUAAGGUUCGACUCGAGCGCCAGCGAGAGAACGUUGCCGCAGGCAACGGCCCGAAGGGCGAGGAGCGAUAGCGACGAGUUAUCCUUCCCCCACCACCA